rnacentral:rRNA from 1 species
UACGGGGGGGGCAAGCGUUGUUCGGAAUUACUGGGCGUAAAGGGCGUGUAGGUGGCCAACUAAGUCAGACGUGAAAUCCCUCGGCUUAACCGGGGAACUGCGUCUGAUACUGGAUGGCUUGAGUGUGGGAGAGGGAUGCGGAAUUCCAGGUGUAGCGGUGAAAUGCGUAGAUAUCUGGAGGAACACCGGUGGCGAAGGCGGCAUCCUGGACUGGUCCUGACACUCAGGAGCGAAAGCGUGGGGAGCGAACAGG